CGCGCAUCUCGAUUGCGUCUGUAGCAGUUUUUAAUAUCUGAAUGUUCCUCCCAAGUGGUAGCUUCGGUUCGGGUCCAUUGGGUUUCUAGAUCUGAUCUCGCUGUCUAAUCUUUGAAAUUCUUGCGUCGUCGAUGAUGCUGUCUAAUCUUUGAAAUUCUUGCGUCGUCGAUGAUGUGUUGAAGCUCAAUGGAGGAUUUGAUCUAUAAGUGAACAUUAUCUUCCAAUGAAUUGCUCUUGCUAUUGAGAUUAUGCUACCAUUAGGCAGUAACCCAUGCGUCGUGUGGGAUAGAGAUUAAGAAUAGAUGAUUCGAACAACAUAUGAAGAUAUUGUACUCU
rnacentral:lncRNA from 1 species